ACAGAUUGCAGCAUCUCAGCAUUGGUGAGUUGUCGUGCUUGGCAUUUCAAAGUUAAUGUCAAUAUUCUGUGUUCAAAAUAUCUUGAUACAACCAGAAUUUGUCGGACGGUGGGAAAUAUGAUAAGAUGAGGCUUGUUUUGCAAGAUGCUUUAUGUAUAUUGAGCUUUUUGUGGAUGAAUGCAUGAUUCUUUGCAGGUGCUUGUUUCAGUUUUUAGCCAUUCUACCGAAUAUUGGCUUCUUGUGUAUAUCUUGUAUGCUUGGUUUUUGCCAUUGUUUCUAUGAUAUAUAUGAUUUGUCAAGAGAGUUCAAUUUACAUGCUUGUACCAAAGCUGAUGCUGAUAGAGUGUAUUGACUUGUUGGGCUUGGGCAGACACCUUUAUUCUCUUGUUCUGUGGCCAAUAUUGCUACAAACGAGGUGUCUUUCAGAUUUUUAUUAUGGAAGAUUUUCUGGAACAUGUUUAUUUUAGAAGGAUUUUUCAACUCCUUUUUUUCUUGUAUCCCCUGUUAUCAAUUGUAAUUUAUGCAUUUUAUUAAUGAGGCCUUUUUACAUUGGUCUGUAGUCUGCUUCUCAAGUCCAUGGGGGUCAAUUUGCGGCAGGUUUUGUGGAUGGUUCUGUGAGACUCUAUGAUGUGCGGACACCCGAAAAGCUUGUUUGUACUAAACGGCCACAUGCGAAAGUAGAAAGAGUUGUGGGGAUUGGCUUUCAACCUGGUCUUGAUCCUGGGAAGCUUGUCAGUGCAUCUCAGGCUGGUG
rnacentral:misc_RNA from 1 species